UUGGCAGUGUACCAUGUGUGCUUACUUGUUAACCACGAAAAUAACACAAAAAAAUCACCGAAAAAAUAUUUUUUUUUAAUUUAAAAGGAAAAAAUAGAAAUUAGAAGAAAAUUUAUAGCAAAUUGAAAGAAAAAUAAAUAGAAAGUUAUUUAAAUAAAAAUAAAAGAAGGUAAAGCAAUAAGAAUAAACAUUUUUUAGAAAAGAAUUUAAAGAAAACAAUUAAAAAAAAAUUGAAAUGAAAUUGAAAACAAUGACAACAAUUGCUCUUGACUGCCUGAUCGAGGAAUUAAGAGAUUGCAUACGAAGAUGGACAGUUCGAGAUAAACGAGUGACAUAUGGCAUUUUGGGGCACGUUGCGCUUAUAUGAUAGGUAAGUGAUUAUAAGUAUAUGCAGUAUAUACAUACAUAUAUUUGUAUUUCUUUAUUUAAAAUUUUUCUUCAAGAAUUUUUAAUGAUGCUGACAUUUGCCGAAGGACGAAGUCAAUAAAGCACACGGCGGCGUUCAUGGCAGGCACGUAAGCUAUGCAUACAGAGCGCAUAGCAACAACUAUACAAGGCAGUGGAGCGCAUAAUCAACAACACAUGAUCACCUCGUCUAUAUCGUCUAUGAGCUGAGCUGGCUCGAAUGCGAAAACUUAAAAAUAACAAAUCUUAUAUACACGCCAUAUGAAUCAACCGAGGAGCAACAGCAGCGUUUGUGCCGGUGACGAAUAUUGCUGACGAUGACAAAUGUAACGGCAAAGAUUUAAACAACAUUUGAUUUGUUUUUGUAUUUAUUUGUUUAACAUUUUUUCCUCGAAUUAGCUAUAUGUAUUAGGCUGUGUACCUAAUAUGUGCUUGAGCGCGACUAAUGCCAACUAACCAUUAGUAAGUUUAGUGUCUGUAAACUACACGCGGCUAAUCAUACAAAUAAUGAUUCAUUAGGGUAAGUGCCAAAAAUGAUUUGUUGUAACGAUGAAUUAUGGCGCAUAUUGCAACAUAUGCUGCUGAUCUAAGCCAAAUUGCCGCUCGAAAACACCAGUGAAGACACGAGCAGGAAGCGCAAAGAAAAAUAUAAAUUGCUCUUCCAACUAUUUUUUUGGUGUUUUGUUGCCUCAAGUGUCGCUAAAAUACAUAAGGACGCUUGAAAAGUAACAAUUUCCUACUUUUUUCACGGUUUCUACGGUUUUUUUGCCACACAGUGCAUGCAAAAAAUACUAACUUUGUUCUAUUCCGCUUCAUUUAUUAACAUAUUAUUUAUUUUUAAAAAAUUCAACAACAAAUUGAAGUUGAUGGAAAACAAAUAAAGUGCUGUCAGCCGACAGCGAAACGAUAAAUAA